UCUGAUCAUUUGGAUGGGUGAGCAAAUACUCUUGGUAAUAUAUUGUAUCUGUAACGGUGCCGUCUGCCUUGGUUAGGUAACCCUAAAAGAAACAAUAAUGGCGUAGAAUGAGCUAGGCCGCUAAAAGUAAGUUUGACGAGGUACUGAAUUAAGUCAAAUAUAUAAUGAUACAGACAGUAUCAUUCGAAUCAUGACAAGCAACAUAAAGUAGCCAGAUUAGCAUCACUACAAGAUGAUUUUUAUGGAGUCAUAAAGGAAACAAACUUACCAGCCGCAGCCAUCAUCUCCCAUCAUCGACCUACGUGCAAGGUUAAUGGUAUCACUAACUUUAUUUCAAUCCCUGGCUUCAAACUUUUCACAGUCCCGUCUGACAGCAUCGACGAUAUAAUUUGUUUCAGCUAAUGCUAGUAGCUGGUGCUUGCUAACAGGCUAAUGUCCGUCAGCAGCCACCGCCAAACUCCAGUUAGUGUCCGGACACUGCCUCGCCGUAUGUAAUCACAAUCCAACCCACGGAGAAGAACGCCGUAAAAACAACCAGGGAUUCUGCCGCAACGCUUCAUGGAACCACGCACGCCAAUAUCAUCUGAGCACAAAAUGCUAGUGUUUUAAAUGCUACCCAACAGUCUUCUGUCGGCGCAUGUUUGUGACGCAACACGUGGAAACACUGUUGUGGUCUAUCGAGCGUCACAUCAGCACGAACAUACUCGCAAUAUGCGUUUUGAGAUCAUUUCCGUGUAUAGUCUUUAUUUUGCCUGGGUCUUUUUCUCAUCCACCUGCACAUAAUCCACCCUGUGCUCGUCAGAGAGGAGAGGCUUCUGCAAGACAGAUGCGGUCAUGAGGAAAUGAUGGCAAACGGAGGAGAAGGAGAUGCCGAGUUAAAAUCCAACGACAAGUAGGCAAGGUUCGGUCUUCUUGGCCAAGGUUGAAUAGGCACAUCAAAGUUGAGAGAGCAUUGUUGCCUCGACUCCUGCAGACAAAGAAACAGCUUGAAGCGUCAACAGUGUUCCACGUACGUAUGCCAGAAAUCACUUCUGUUACAAGCAUUACAACAUAAAAAAGCCAUCCAGACCAGAACCGGCCGACCCAUUGGUGUCCAUUAGUGACCUACUCCACAAACUGAAACAUCAAAAGAUGUAGAUGUGAUAAAUGAACAAAGUGAUAUGUAGUGAGAUAUGUGUUGUGAAGUGUUUGACGUCAGCUGGCUAGAGUUGGCAACUAUUUCUUUGCUGUAGCGUCUUUGGUUAGUGUUGUAUUAGUUGUGGCCGACAGCAGAUGCUGUGUGAAUGUUUACUGUAUAUGGGUUCUCUGUGAACAAAGUAAGUCAAUCGUGAGUCGCUCCUUAACCACAAAAAGUAUUCUAUUCUGGUCACCAGUGAGUAACGUUACAUUGAUAACAGACAAUAGAUACCGCAGGAAAUACAAUGUGCUUUCAAUGCUAAAGUGUGAUUAUGUUUGAUAUUAUUUUUUGACAUCAUAAGACAUCAUAUUUUCGAUUAUGACUGUUACAUUGGAGAAUACAAGUGUAAAAGUGACUCUGUGGCGGGCCUCUAAUACUGCUAAGAAACGUAUGUAGAAGGACAUAAACAGAUUUUUAUUCUCUAACGAUGAAAAAAUUCUAUUUUCGAGAAGGAAUACUACUUUGCAGUCAGCCAUGAUUAGUCAUGAUAACAAUGGAUUACUAUUUCAGUGCAAAACUUUGUGUUAGUUAUUAGUAUUAAUAUUUCAGCUUUUUGUCGUCACAUUUUGCAUUUUCUCUAGAUUUCCUUUUUUUCAUUUCUAUAUUGACAGUAAAAACAAGUCGCAGGCAAUCGCAUUUACGCAACCUAUUGACAAUUCACUGUCAAGUUAACCCAGCAUGCAUAGUUUUGGAAUGUGGGAAGAAGCCAGAGGAUGGGGAGUUCUUUAGCUAUUUAUUCGUUAUUUUAUUUAGCUUUUGUAAAUGGUUAAUUUUUUAGUUGUAGCUCCCUAUUGAAAAGUGUAAAUGCAUCUUAUAACUCAUGUGAGUGGUUUUAUUACUAUUAUUGUUAUUGUUGACUUAUCAAGGGUAUUAAUAUUGUAUUUCAGAUUUUUUUAUGUAUUUGUAAUUUGUCAAGCAAAUAAAUUGGAUUUGACUUGAAACCACAGCUUCCCCCCUACACACUACACACAAAAGAUAAACUUUUUUUUAAUCUUCAUUUUCAUCUAUUAUGAGCCCCCUAAACGUCUUUUUGUUCACCCUUUCAACUGUCAAUUUGUGUUUGCGCCUGCGUGUCCUUUCUGCCAUUACCAAAUAAAUAAUAUUUUGGUUUUAUUUAGGUUCAAGGAUAAUCGAUUUUUUAUCAAAACAUAUUUUUAGUACAGGCAUCUCAUCUGUGAGUUUUUAAAUUACCUCCUGUGUGCUUUCCUCAGAAAAAAAGCAGUCGUAUCAUCAGCAAAUAACACUAACUUAAAGUCUUUCGUCACUUUACAAAUUGUCACGCCCUGUGUGGGUUCCUGUGUGACAGUUUGUCUAUGUUCCCUGUCUGGGCUUUGGUUUCCUUUUUGGACACUCUUAUUUUGUAUUGGACUUCCUGUUUUGCCUCCUCUGCCUUCGUUGCCAUAGCCACCCACACCUGUCCCUAAUUGGUCCUCUCUAUUUAGUUCAGGUGUGUGCUUCUCCCUUUGUUGGAUCA